rnacentral:rRNA from 1 species
UCGAGGGGCAGCAUAACUUAGCUUGCUAAGUUGAUGGCGACCGGCGCACGGGUGAGUAACACGUAUCCACCUGCCGAUGACUCGGGGAUAGCCUUUCGAAAGAAAGAUUAAUACCCGAUGGCUCCGCAUGGUUAAAGAAUUUCGGUCAUCGAUGGGGAUGCGUUCCAUUAGGUUGUUGGCGGGGUAACGGCCCACCAAGCCUUCGAUGGAUAGGGGUUCUGAGAGGAAGGUCCCCCACAUUGGAACUGAGACACGGUCCAAACUCCUACGGGAGGCAGCAGUGAGGAAUAUUGGUCAAUGGACGAGAGUCUGAACCAGCCAAGUAGCGUGAAGGAUGACUGCCUAUGGGUUGUAAACUUCUUUUAUACGGGAAUAAGUGAGGCACGCGUGCCUUUUUGUAUGUACCGUAUGAAUAAGGAUCGGCUAACUCCGUGCCAGCAGCCGCGGUAAUACGGAGGAUCCGAGCGUUAUCCGGAUUUAUUGGGUUUAAAGGGAGCGUAGGCGGACGCUUAAGUCAGUUGUGAAAGUUUGCGGCUCAACCGUAAAAUUGCAGUUGAUACUGGGUGUCUUGAGUACAGUAGAGGCAGGCGGAAUUCGUGGUGUAGCGGUGAAAUGCUUAGAUAUCACGAAGAACUCCGAUUGCGAAGGCAGCCUGCUGGACUGUAACUGACGCUGAUGCUCGAAAGUGUGGGUAUCAAACAGGAUUAGAUACCCUGGUAGUCCACACAGUAAACGAUGAAUACUCGCUGUUUGCGAUAUAAGUAAGCG